UACGGAGUAAGCAAAUGCUGCUCGAGACAGGAAGGACUGCUGAGCACUGAAUGCUAACAAGGGGGAGAGAGAGUACAUGUCCACGGCGAGCGAAAAGGUGGGGGGUUCAACAGCGAGAUAUGGAGAAAUACAAUUAACCUGCAAUGUGCCAACGCCAAAUUCACGCCGAUCACAACCAUCCUCACCACCGAUCAUCACCCUCAUCCUCACCGCCACCAACAGCGCGCGCGUCCUUGUCUUUUUCCUCCUAAGUGAAAUGUAUCGGGACUGUAUGGGAUCUUUUUUCUGACAAUGGAGAUUGAGAAUAUCGUGGCCAACACCGUGCUGCUGAAGGCGAGGGAAGGAGGAGGAGGGAAACGGAACGGACGGAGCAAGAAAUGGAAGGAGAUGCUCAAACUGCCUCAUAUCAGCCUCUGCGAGGAACUUAGACGCACUAUUGAGAGGGAUUACACUAGCCUUUGUGAGAAGCAACCAAUUGGUCGUCAGUUAUUUCGGCAGUUCUGUGACACGCAGCCCAAAUUACGGCGGUGCAUAGAGUUCCAGGAUGCUGUGGCAAUGUAUCAGGUGGCUCCUGAUGAGAAGAGGAGAGACGUUGGUUUAAAUAUUUUAGACACAUAUUUUAAUAAUGGGUCGGCAGCUCAUCUACCAGAGAUGGCUCAGGAUGUGGUUGGGGAAUGCAGGCAGAAACUGGAACAGAGUCCCUGUAAAGAGCUGUUCCAGGAGUGCACCAGGAUAGUUCGUGAAUAUUUAAGUGGAGAGCCAUUCUCGGCAUAUCAGGAGACAAUGUACUUUUCCCGUUUUCUUCAGUGGAAGUGGUUGGAGAGGCAACCAGUUACCAAAAACACUUUUAGACACUACAGGGUAUUGGGCAAGGGCGGAUUUGGUGAGGUUUGUGCCUGCCAGGUUCGUGCCACUGGUAAGAUGUACGCCUGUAAAAAGCUGGAGAAGAAACGGGUGAAGAAAAGAAAAGGUGAAGCAAUGGCAUUAAAUGAAAAACGCAUUUUAGAAAAAGUUAACAGUAGUUUUGUAGUUAGUUUGGCAUAUGCAUAUGAGACUAAGGACGCUCUAUGUUUGGUGUUGACUAUAAUGAAUGGUGGAGACCUGAAGUUUCAUAUCUAUAACAUGGGAAACUCUGGCUUUGAUGAACAGCGUGCCAUCUUUUAUGCAGCAGAGAUCUGCUGUGGCUUAGAGGACCUUCAUCGAGAGAGGAUCAUCUACAGAGACUUGAAGCCUGAGAAUAUUCUUCUUGAUGACCGUGGGCACAUCCGUAUUUCUGAUCUGGGACUGGCCGUCCAAAUUCCAGAGGGUGAGACGAUACGAGGGCGCGUUGGCACGGUGGGAUACAUGGCACCGGAGGUCAUUCAGAACGAGAGCUACACCUUCAGUCCCGACUGGUGGGGUUUGGGCUGCCUGAUAUAUGAAAUGAUUCAAGGUCAGUCUCCUUUUCGUCGCCGCAAAGAGCGUGUGAAGCGAGAAGAGGUGGACCGCCGUGUGUGUGAGGACCAGGAGGAAUACACUGAGAAGUUCUCUGAAGAAGCUAAAGACAUCUGCCGACAGUUGUUACGUAAAGAUCCAAAGGAGCGUUUGGGGAGUCAAGGUUGUGGAGCGGCUGAAGUCAAACUGCAUCCUAUUUUCCGAAACAUCAACUUCAAGCGAUUAGAGGCCAACAUGCUAGACCCGCCGUUCUGUCCUGAUCCACGUGCUGUGUAUUGCAAGGAUGUUCUGGACAUAGAGCAGUUUUCUACAGUCAAAGGCGUAAACCUGGAUCCUACAGACGAUGACUUCUACCACAAGUUUGUAACAGGAAGUGUCUCCAUCCCAUGGCAAAAUGAGAUGAUUGAGAUGGAGUGCUUUAAAGAGAUUAAUGUGUUCGAGAUGGAUGGAGCACUGUGUUCUGAUCUGGAUGUGAACAAGCCAAAUCCAGCACCCAAGCGAGGAUUCUUCUACCGUUUAUUCCGCCGAGAGGCAAGUGCUAGCGUGCCGCCCGCUGCGGUCAGAGGGGGUGGGGCUUGAGGUUUGUUUUAGUAAUGCCAACAGUGAGGAGGAGGAGCCAUCUUGACUUAAAACCACUCCCACUUCCCAUCAGCUGCCAAUCAGAAUGCUAAACGUAUGAAUGUUCAACUGUAUUUAUGAACUGUAUUAAACUGUAUCAUAAUUAAAGAAAAGGGGUGUGAGUUUAAAGAAUUUUGUACAUUUGUACUUGAAUUAUGUGUAGAUGUAUAUUUUCACUAAAGGUUGAAUUGUACAAAAAGCCAUAGAAAUACCACUUGAAUGCAUAUAUAAUGUUUUUAUUGUUAUUAUUUUUCAUCUGUACUGAAUAUGAAAUGUGUAUUUCUUUUGAAGCACAAUAUAAACCCUCACUUUUCUCGUUUAAUGCUAGCCUCCUAGCACUGCCUUUGUUUGUAUGUUAGAUUGUUUGGCUGGACAGACUUGGUUUUGUACAGUGGGAUGAGAUAAAUGAACAUAAAGAAAGGAGUACAAAUGAUCUAUUCAUCAUUAUCGUUUCUAGUGGUCAGCUGUAAUGGGUUGAUGGCUGAUGGUCAAUUGCUGAUAAAAACUAUAGCCCACAUAUACUGUACAGCGGGGUCCAAUGAUCUGACAACGCUAAGCAAAAUGCUUCUGUUUUUUAUAUUUCUAAUUCCGUACAAUUUUUUAAAUAUAAACGAUAUGAUCAGCAUAACAGCAUAUUUGAUUAAAGGUUGAAUUGAAUAUUAACCAGAAUAUUAGAAUGUCAUAAUGUAACCAAAUUGGCUUAUUUGAUUAGUAAACAACAACAACAACAACAACAAAAAUGGUGUAGAAACAAUUUUCAUUCAGAAAUUGCUAGUACAUUACUACAAAGUAAGAACAAGAAACCUUGAAUUGAACAUGAAACUGUGAAGCAGAAAUAGUAUUUAAUAUUUCACGAGAAUAUGAGAUGCUUCAUGUUCAUUUUAGAUAACUCUACUUUUUAAAAAAUCUUCUUCUAUAGCAUUCUAUUCAUUUCUAGUUAUAAAUUACAAUGGAGAGGUGUAGAUUUUCAGUGUAGCCUCAGACUUAUGGACUCCACUGUAUAAGUUAUAAUUUUAAAACAAAAAAUGUCUUUUGACAAAGCCGUUGGUGGUAGCUAGUGCCAGUAGCCUCAAAAUGACCAAUUAUCGGACAAUUAAUUAGCUUGAUUGAUAUAUCAGUCUGUUUCUAGUCUUUCUGCAUAGUUUUCAUGCAGUUCAUGCAACUGUUAAGUUCAUGUCUUAUGACCAUGCGGCAAUGGUCACAUCCUUUAAUAUGUAGAGAGAAGAGCACAGGAUGUUCUAGAAUCUUACAGUGUGAAACAAGUCAUUUCUUUAUCUUUGGAUCUCUGUGCAUCAGAUGACUAUUACCUGUUUUGGUCAUGUGCAUAAACAAGACAAAAAUACACAUUUGUUCUAACUUUAAAACAGUAGGACAUAUUGUGCAGUUGCCCACUGAUAAACAGUUUACAGUGGCUUACCUUUGGCGAUAUCUAGAGAGCAGAAUGAUUGAUGUAAUGCUUUUAUAUAUACGUAAAUAUAUGUAUAUAUACUGAUAUAUAUGAGUCACUUAAAGGAAUAGUUCACCCCAAAAUGAGAAUUUAGUCCACCAUAUCCAGGUCAUCCAAGUAUCAAUGUAGAUGAGUUUGUUUCUUCAUUGGAACAGAUUUUGGUGAAAUGUAGCAUUCUAUUACAUGCUCACCAAUAAAUCAUCUGCAGUGAAUGGGUGCCAUCAGAAUGACAGUCCUAACAGCUGAUAAAAACAUCACAAUAAUCCACAAGUGAUCAGUGCAGUAAUCCAAAACUGUAAACAAACCCAUCAUUAAGAUGUUUCUAACUCAAAACCAUUGCUUUUCAGCGGACAUCACUGGAGGAAUCGUUAUCAUGGAUUAUAGACUGGUAUUUUAGCCAGAAGCAACAGUUUAAGGUUAAAGCGCCUUGAUGGAUUUGUUUCUUAACUUCAGCUGUUCAAAAACUCAUUCUGACGGCACCCAUUCACUGCAGAGGAUCCAUUGUUGAGAAAGUGAUAGAAUGCAACAUUUUAUCAAAUCUGUUCCAAUAAAUAAACAAACUCAUCUACAUUUUGGAUGGUCUGGAGUAGCUCUUCAGCAAAUUUUGGGGUGAACUAUUCCUUGAAUCAUAAUACAAUACAUUUACUCAAAAUACACAUCAAAUUGAAAAUAGAAAAUGCUUGUUAUUCUUAAACGAGGCUUUUGUUAGAUUUUUUGACCAGACGCAGGGGAAAACCAAUAAUGAAAGUUUUGUUAAGUGGCUGUAAUUAUGGACUGAUAAUGAUAAUCUCAAAAUGAACCAAAUGUUGUCCAAUGAAUCACUUUUGUUGACUGUUUGCUGAUAUCCACCACAUUUAGUUCAGCUUCCUGCCUUUGCUCUUAUGGUUACCUUCAGUGCCAUCAGGAAUCUUUACAGUGGUAUCAACAGGCCAGUGUAAACCACCUAAAUAAGCUUCAUCUUCAAAUUUGCUCACAUGACGGCUCUUAAAUGAGCUGUUGAUUUUGCCUUAGGUAUCAUAUGUUCAGUUAAUAUUCCAAACGGGGUAUUGAAUGAUCUGUUAAUGAUAAUCACAUGCACACUUUAUGUUAAAUUGUGAUUACUCAUUUUGUUUUACUUUUGUGUGUAUUUGUAUGCCAUUAUUUCAGUCACAACGAGGUAAUGCUUCCAUUCAGAAAUGGGAAUUAGUCUCAGAUGUUUCAUUCCUAAAUGUGUAGGGGAAAAAAAUCCCACUGAAAUGUCCUUUAUAUAGGAUAUUUUAUUUUGAUGCAGUUCUCUAAAGCAGAAAUGUAAUUUUUUAAUUUUAAAUCUUAAUUUUUUAUUCUCCUAGCCAGUCGUAAUAUGCAGAGAAAAAAUAAAGCAUUCAUAUGAUAAUUCCAUCUCUGGCGCGAUCAAAACACUGUUCUGUUCGGUUUGAUGGAGAAUCACAACCAAUGGCAUGAGUCGGGGGGCGGGGUUAUGACAUACUGCAGCAUUGACAGUAAAGCUCAAAUAGGAAGCACUGUUUUACCUUUGACUGCUCCAUCACCCAUAUUUGUUAUUCUCUUUAUGAGGAUCUUUAUGGUCCCUUUUGCAAAGCUGUGAACCUAAACUCUUCUGUUAUUCCCACAUGUGUGCAUGUUCUACUGUAUCCAUGGUUUUACAAGAGGAAGAGCACUCACAUUAGUUGACUAUAAAAUUAUGAGUUGACAUAUGGCCAUUAAAAUGUACAUUUCAUUCUCUAUAAAAACUCACAAGAAUGUUUGUGUUUUUUAACCUUGUAUAUUUGAAGAUUACACUGCCUUUUCCCUGUUUUCUCCUUGCGGUCACAUCUUUGAUUGAAUUAUUCUAUAUAUAAAAUAAAUAAUUUAGUUUAAAAACUG